UACGAAGGGUGCAAGCGUUACUCGGAAUUACUGGGCGUAAAGCGUGCGUAGGUGGCUUGGUAAGUCUGUUGUGAAAGCCCCGGGCUCAACCUGGGAAUGGCAAUGGAUACUGGAUAGCUAGAGUGUGAUAGAGGAUGGUGGAAUUCCCGGUGUAGCGGUGAAAUGCGUAGAGAUCGGGAGGAACAUCAGUGGCGAAGGCGGCCAUCUGGAUCAUCACUGACGCUGAGGCACGAAAGCGUGGGGAGCAAACAGG
rnacentral:rRNA from 1 species